rnacentral:rRNA from 1 species
UACGUAGGUGGCAAGCGUUGUCCGGAAUCACUGGGCGUAAAGGGCGCGUAGGCGGUCGAUUAAGUCAGGUGUGUAAACUUUAGGCUUAACCUGAAGAUUGCACCUGAAACUGGUAGACUUGAGUGCAGGAGAGGGCAGUGGAAUUCCUAGUGUAGCGGUGAAAUGCGUAGAUAUUAGGAGGAACACCAGUGGCGAAGGCGGCUGCCUGGACUGUAACUGACGCUGAGGCGCGAAAGCGUGGGGAG